GGCUCUAUCAGAUAUCAUGAUUACCACUCCUGCCUUCUUUCUGUCAGUUGAGGCCCAGAAGGUCUUACUCCAUCCUUUAAUUCUGACCUUGUGAGUGUCUAUUCACCUCAUGUGUGUUUCUUGAAGACAACAUAUGGUAGGGUUUUGGAUUCUAAUCCAUUCUGCUAUUCGUCUACAUUUUAUGGAUUUCUCAUAUGUCAAAUAAGUAUUUGAAAAUGUGACCAUCUAUGAGACCUUUCUCCUCUGAAGCCGGAUGAGACUCUUUUGGAUCAAG
rnacentral:lncRNA from 1 species